rnacentral:rRNA from 1 species
UGGGGAAUCUUCCGCAAUGGACGAAAGUCUGACGGAGCAACGCCGCGUGUAUGAUGAAGGUCUUCGGAUUGUAAAGUACUGUCAUUGGGGAAGAACGGUUUUCUUGAAAAGAUUGAGAAGACAUGACGGUACCCAAGGAGGAAGCCCCGGCUAACUACGUGCCAGCAGCCGCGGUAAUACGUAGGGGGCAAGCGUUGUCCGGAAUUAUUGGGCGUAAAGGGCGCGUAGGCGGGCCUUUAAGUCCGGUGUGAAAGAUCAGGGCUCAACCCUGAGAGUGCAUCGGAAACUGGAGGCCUUGAGGACAGGAGAGGAAAGUGGAAUUCCACGUGUAGCGGUGAAAUGCGUAGAUAUGUGGAGGAACACCAGUGGCGAAGGCGACUUUCUGGACUGUAACUGACGCUGAGGCGCGAAAGCGUGGGGAGCAAACAGGAUUAGAUACCCUGGUAGUCCACGCCGUAAACGAUGAGUGCUAGGUGUAGAGGGUAUCGACCCCUUCUGUGCCGCAGUUAACACAAUAAGCACUCCCGCCUGGGAAGUACGAUCGCAAGAUUAAAACUUAAAGGAAUUGACGGGGUCAUAGCUGUUUCCU